rnacentral:lncRNA from 1 species
UUGAAGGCGGUGUGCCUAGUUAGUUGAUUGGCCACUGAGCUCUUACUAAGAGUGGACACUUUUGGGGGUACACAGGAACAAUGAUGUAUAUAGUUAUGCCUGGAGCGAGCCUCUAAUGUGCUUUUUAUUAUGCCCCCAGUUCCUUCUGAAAGGAAAACACAAGCCCCAAACCCAAACAACACACACACACACACACACACACACACACACACACACACACACACACACACACAUCCCUCCAGACCAACAGCAGGUGGUAUCCCGUCUCCUAGCCUCCUGCCCAAAGAAGAGUCCCAUUGGGUUUCAAAGCAUGGCCAGCAUUUCCUACCUAGCUGGAACUUAGACAUUCUAAAGACACAUUCCCAUGCCUUGUUUACCUGCAGCUAGUAUAUUCACAUUGAAAAGACCCAUUUUUCCAGGAGCCUGUGCUCUUCCUGUCUCUGGGUCUAAGUUCAUGAAGAAGCCAAUACCCAGGAGUGGGGCACAAGAUGUCUCCACCUUUCAGAAGGUGGCCCUGGUCAUGGUGGUAGUGGUAGGUGGUGUCUAUAGAGACAUUAACCCUCCCACCCCACACCCCCGUGUAUAUUUGUGGAAGGGUGGGUGCACACCUAGGCCCAUCCCCCAUCCCUGCCCAUCUCCUACAGCCAGGCCUUUGUGGAUUUAUUUUGCAAACAAAGAAAAAAUGAGAGUCUGACCCGGGCAGUUUCUGGAAGAUUGCUGGCUUUAUUCUGUUUUCAGUUGUUCACAGUUUGGUUUUACAGUAUGCAAAUUCUGCCUGUCAUCUGAUAUCCCCUCUGCUGGUGACUUGACUUGGGAACCACAUACCAAGCACCUGCCUGAGGCUUGAUGGUCAGAAGUGUCUGCAGGUUUCUCCACCUGCCCCUAGCAGCCAAGGGUUGGACAUACCCCACCCCCAGCCCCAACUCCUGAGCACAUCUGGUACAGCCGGUGUGUGCACAGCUAAGGGAAUAUGUACCCUGCUCCACCUGUCUACUGCCUGAUGCUCUCAUGCAUAGGGCUGGGAUUACCAGUGGCCGUGUUUGUACCUUGGCCCUAACCCCACACAGACAUUCUGAAUUUCGGAGUGUUCAUAGUCUCCUCUAGCAAGGAACUUGCCCAGCACUGGGUAGAAGCUUGGCAACAGCAGUGUGAGAGACCGGGUUCCUAGGAUAAGCGUGGACACGCCCCACGGGCUCACUCAUGUCUACUGGCAAAGCCAUGGCCACUGCUGAUCUGUGUACCUCCCUGCAAUGGAAACAUGGCUGGCUUCCGCCAGGGCCCAUCCUUUCUGACUUGAGCAUCUUAUGUCCCCACAGAUAGUUAUUUCAUCCUAAUAAAAGCUUACUGUUUUGUUGGCUCCCAAGCAUUAAGGAAUCUUAAGUGGGGAAUCUAAGUGCCAGGGUGCCCACCCCUUGGGGUGUUGGUGGGUGAUGCAAACAGGGAUGUUUGAGUCCAGGUAUGGUUGGGCUAGCGAAGGGAGUGGCCAGACAGAGAAUACAUGGCCCAUGGAACUGUUAGAGAACUCAGAGUCAGCGCUGAAUGUAUGUCAUGUUAUAUAAUUCAAACCGCGUCUGUUUGCCUUCAUCAUGAGAGGAUUGUACAUAAGGUUCCUGGGGGGAGAGCGAGUGGUCCGUUUCUUUAGGCUUGUUUUGGUUUGCGAAAUACUUUGAUUGUCACAGUGGUGCAAGUGAAACGUGCUACACUCCAAUGUGGUUAGGAUGAAAAUUUUAGGGCAAAAAUAAAUAAAUAAAAAUU